GUGCCUCUUGAUCUGAACUGGUUUGGUUCUCUCACCAAGUGCAGGUGACACAGCUGUGACAACGCCAAUUCUGGGCUUUUCAUCUCUUUUUGAGGCUUGGUAUGCCUGUCCUGCAGUGGUGUAUCAGUAGGAUGGUCAGCAAAACCUGAAUGCCAGCCAUGGCAACUCUGCUUGCCUCAAACUUAAUUGUGACAAUUUGGGCAGGAAUGAGGUGUGAGUGGCUGCUUCGAAUCUGACUGCAGAUGUUGGUGAGGGAAGCUGAUAGAAAGCCUCAACAUUGAUCUGUAUUCAUAGGUGAAGCUCAUGCAGUCCUUGCUGGAUUGGCUUCUCGUUGAUCCUACCCAAGUUCUGCUGGGACCUGAGCAUUGCACUGGGUGGGGUUGGCUGGGCGGGCUGCUUAUCUGCUGCUCUGUGAUCUGUUUUACAGCAGUGUCAACCUUGGGUCUCUCUUCUUAGGAAUAUGAAACUCAAAACAGUUCCGCUGUGCCAGAACAAUCAAAGAGCGUCCUACAAGCAGGAGGGGAGGAAGUUCUCUCCAGAUUUCUGUUUUCAAGACGUGCAAGGCAAACAAGGACAGAAUGAGUCAGUGUGGGUGGGUCUGGGGUACACAACACCUGCAGCUGGGGACUGGGCUUUGGUGCAGGUGUGUUGCACCAGAUUUCAUGGUGAAAAGUUCAUCCAGCUCUGCAGGCCAGUCACUCACCUCCUGAUGUCCUCCCGAAUGUGUGCACCCAGACUGCUGCCCUGCAUGUAAUACAGUAAUGUUAUAUGUGGUAGGAAAUGUAUUUUUUUUUAACUGUAGUGGAAAAAAAUAGCAAAUGCGUAGCCUUGAUGAUACAUGUUAACAAGGAAGUGGCAUAGCAAGAAGUUAGCUAUUUUUAUCACUGUUUGCCAUAAAAGGGACAAUACAGGAAACAACUUUAAAUUCAAUCCAUUUUUCAGUUCUAUUGCAAAGCUAUUAGUAUUAAACCUAAGCUUGUGUUAUCCCCUGUUCCCUCCUGCCUCCUUCUUGACCAACUCCUGUCACCCAAAGAUUGUGGCUUGUUCACAUCCACUGUGAGAGGGUAGAAAGGUUUCCUGUGAGUCAGUGGGUUCUGGAUCAGGCCCUUAAGCUCUCAUGAUGGCCAAGAUUUGGGAGUCUGAAAAGAAAUUAAUUGGUAGCAUGUAGGGAGCAUCUAGCUAUAUUUUUUCCUUUCGUAUUAGUUCAGACGGCACUUACCUAACUUGAUCGUAUGAGUAUUUUUUUUUUUUUAGGAGACUUCAAGAUUUGGCCACAUGAUACAGUUUUGGGAGAAAAUGUGAAUGCACAAAGAGAAAAUGUGAACCACAGCUGAUGGCAAACAGCAUCUUCUAGCCUGCCAUUGAAUUCCCAUGUCACAGCCCUUGUGGUGGGGUGCUGUUAGACCUAAUCUUGUUAUAUGACUGGGGCUUGUUUUCUGUCAGAUUUAAAAUUGGGAGUCCAAAGCUGAUUAGUUUUUCAAGCUAAAGAUGCCUCUAGCCUGGUGCUCUGGAAACAAACAUCUCCACUGUGUGGUGUGGUUAGAAGAUAACAUAGAAAUAUAAAUGAUUUUUUUUUCAGCUGACUGUCCUGAAACCCUGAAGGUUUGUUGCAGUUGGAUCUGUGUCGAGAACAAAAGAGCCUUCAGAGACUGGAAGCUGAUAGGCGGUUUUAUUCUUUUAUUUUUUUAUUUUAACUUGAGAAAUCUAAGUCCAUCAAACUGCAUGCUUCUAUUCAGUUUCUAAAGUUAAUUGUGAGUGCGUAGCACCUUGGGAAUCUUUCAGAAUAGGUCGGUAGGAGAUCUCUAGAGAUGGGCCAUGUCCUACUUCUACGUGGCAAAGAAGUCAUGCACAGAGUGCCUGCUGUUCACUCGUAGAAUUGGAGGUUUCAUUUUGGCGAAGGCCACAGCAGUACCCUGCUCCUAUUAGACUCAUGCGAACAGCUUUGAGCGUGAAUGUGUUUGGUGUGUAGAUGUGAUGCAGGUACUGCUCACUCAGGUGAUUGUUUGUCUCCUAUCCAAAGCGUGUGUGCCGUGAGCUGCAGCUCACCUUUCCCAUUGCCCUGUGGUCACUUCCUAUUCACAUUUUGUUUGGGGCAAAACCGGGGAAGGACCAGUCCAGCGUGGCUGCAGUCGUGUGAGGGUGGCACGACUCUGGGCAGGCAGCAGCCAGUGAGCACUCUGCAUUUCCCAGUCCCUGCAGUCCCCAGGGACUCCUGUAAGGCUGGUGGACACGGUGUAUGUUACAAUUCUCCUUAGAUCAGCAGUUUCCCCAAAGCUGGACACAGUGGCCUAAUUCCAUCAUCACUCGUUAUCCUUCCCACGUUUUAAGCAGCUGGUUUCUGUAGGUCUGCGUUUGGAAUUUCCCUAGGUUAAGCCAUAUGAAAAUGCUUUGUUCAGUAAUCUUCCAGCACAAGCAAAAAAGCAUCUUUGGAAAAGAUGAUACAGAAACUAAUAACAGCUGAGCUGAUGCCAUCACCUGAGGUCACACUGCUUUUUGCAAAGUGUGCUUUGCUAGCAUACCCCACUGUGCCCAGCUGCAGCUGUGUGGUCACAAGGGAGCUGAAUAAAUAAAUAAAUAAAUACAGGAAAGUUCCAAAACUGGGCCUGUGAAACCGUCUGCUGCAGAACCACCAUUAACUCAAUCGCUGAAUUCAAAAGCAGCUGGGAAUGCCUGAGUGUCUACUUCUGAGGUUUCUGGUUGCGAUAAGGUUGCAUUUCAACGCUCUUCUGUGGAUCAGCAAAAACUGGAAGCUUUUCACUUUUUGUUUCCAAGGUGAGCUGAGGCUGCAGGGACAUUGCUACAACACCAUGUAUCGCAGUACUUCGGUGGGCAUCGGCCGUGGGCGAUAGCAGUGUGACCACUGCACCAGCGCCUCCUCGGGAGUCACUUUGAGCUUGCUCCCUCGAAGCGUACUCUGCACAGUCCCACGCCACUGCUUGCUUAACUUCGAGUUAAAAAUUUGCUCUCUGUUUACCUAAUAACGUACCUCUUGGUUGAAGUGUGAAGCCCCUGAUGUGGAGGUUUCCAGGACCCCAGCUGAGCUGGGUGGCUUUACCAGCAGCUCUUCCUUUGAAGUUGGAAGGUGUGUGCUCCACCAAUGGCAGGCUUUGGCUUAUGUUUGCUUGUCAAACAGUAAGAACAAAAAAUAAAAAAUUAACGAGCAUCCUGGAAACUAACCAGGAAAUGGUGUUUUCUGUGAGAAUGGGAGAGCUGUAAAAUAAGUUUCAGGAAAUUAUAUUCAAAUAAGUAAGUAAGUAAGUAAAGAGCAUCAGUCAGAUACCUAAUGGCCAAAGUGCCUGCUGUGCCAGCUUGGAACUCCAAGUCCUGGUUGGUGGUCAUGAGUGUCCCAGGUUGGUGCAAUUUUGCUGCAAUAUAAAUAUUUUAAAGCCAUUUUACUGAACUGAAUACACUUCAGAAAUCCUGUAGUGCUACAGGAGUUGUUUCCACUUACAAACCUGAGUAACCCUGUGCCCAGUGUGUAAACCUGAGAGGUUCCUCUCGUGUGACAGAUGUGAGGACGCAGUGCUCCAACAGGAGACUGCAAGAAGCGAUUUUGUGCUGCUUUGCUAGCGUGAUUCUCACUUAUCAGACUUACAGCAUUCAGCAUGAUUUAAGAAGUUUGUUCCUGCUCUGCAGGGACUCUGCUGGCGUUUAUUGCCGUAUGCUAUAUGCUUGCACAAGGGGAAGAAGCAGAAAGCUGCACGGUGCUGCACUGGUGCUUAUAGCAGAGAGGGGAGCUGCUGCCUCUGGGGGUAACUUUAUAGGGCUCUGCUCUUGUGUGCUCUUCCCACAGCACACACUUUCCUGUAAUAGUGCAGUAUGUGAGCAGAUUGCAUGCUGUAUUGUGCUGCUGCUGUUUGUAAGUCUGAUGCAUGUGUAUAUUUUAAUUUGAAGUCUGAGAAAGCUCAUCAUUUUUUAUUGAUAAUAGAUCAGAGUAUGUUGUCAAUGCAUAAGAAUUUAUAGUUUUGCUGGUUUAUGGUUUAUGUAGUCUCUCUUGUCUUUUGGGAGGUGAUGGAGUCUCCAGGUACUUUCCUCAUACCUGUGGAUUCAGAACUUCUACCAGCACAGCAAUAUCCCCUCUGAGGAUGGGGUGCAGACUGUGGCUUGAACACUGGAAAUGUUUGUAUGCGCUUAAAAAUAUAGCGGCCUGUACCCGUGCAGCAGGGGCUCUCAGGGCAGGGGCUUCCUCUUGCAGGAGAUGAGAUAGGUAUGGGGCCAGGAGCCUGCUGUUCCUGUCUGCUUGUCAUAAACUGGGGGAAAAAAACACCAUUUUUUUAUUCAUCUCAGCCAUUUAAAUAUGUGCAUGUGGCUGUCCCCCUCUUGCACAUUUCUUUUUUCUAAUUGUAAUUUUCUGGCAUGCUUUCUUCCUGGAAGCUGGAGCUAUUAUCAUUUAUUCUCUCAGGACUCAACGCCUCUGUUGAUCUCUGAGUCACUUUCCCAAUUACAAAUCAAUUUAUCCAGUAUUGCUGCUUGCUGCUAUGAGCAGUAAGGAGAAACACUCCUCUAUCGGACUGAAAUUUCCCGAAGGGAAGGAGAGACAUGGACGUGGUGUGUCUUUGGGCUGUGACUUCUUGUACAGAGCUGCCAGACUUGUGUAUUUAUUGAAACAUGCUGGAUGUUUCAAAAGGCAUCUGGGGGAAGUGCUGUGGCUCAUUUACCACAGGUAACUCUGCAGUGGGAGGGUGCCAAACCCUCAGGGUUGGGGUGUUUUGGUGUGCAUCUUUUCCCCUCGCCUACCCCAGACUCCUGGCACACCAGCUUUCACGCUGGCCCCGGUUCUGGCUCUGCAGGCACGGGGUCAGCCUGCUCAGGAGAAGGUCAGAGCUGCCCGACAGGUCCAGAGCUCAACUACAAACCCGCAAAAGAAAUGGCUUGCUAUCUGGGUAGCCUGAGAUUGCUCUUUCUGGUUAUUGAAAAAUGCAGGUAGUUAUCUGUUUGUUAUUCAGAACAGGAAAUGCUGUUAAAAGUAUUCUUAAAAAGUGUUUUCACCACCAUGAAAUCUGCAGCAGCUGUGUCCCAGCCCUUGCACCGAAUACACUGGUGUGGAUCCCUGGUGCGGCAGCUGAGUCUGUUGUCCUUUAAACACCUGCAGGGAAAUCACACAUCUGAAAAACGGGGAAAUGGUAUUUGCUUUGGGGUUGCUUGCCAACGCGGAGAAAUGUUGUGAGUCAGUAUGUCAAUAUCUAAAGGGCAUCAGAAUGUGAACUGGCCGUGCCACCGGGUUUUCAGGGAAGAGGCCAAAGCAGGAACCUCUUCCAAGCUGCCGGAGCUGCAGCGAGGACAGCCCUGGAAAGGAGCAGGGGGAUGGCAGGUCACCCCAAAGCAGAGCUGACAUCUGACCCAUGGAGCUGUUGCUUCAAAGCUGGCUGUUUAGGAAUUUGCAGUGUCGCUUGCCUGGAUCUCAUGCUGAUCCCGUAAAUAAACCUCUGCCUUGAUGGAUGGCCAGUAGUUGGUUCUGCCUUGAAGCCGAAAGGGUCAGACCCAAGCCCCUUGUUUGGGGGAUCAGGUCCCUUCAUUGGGUUGCCACCGUUCAAGAGGCGGCAGCCCUAUGACCCGCGGGGGUUUCUGUAACCAGCUCCCUCCCCGGUGCCUCCCAGCAGGGCUGGCUGGAUUUUUGUGCCCCGUGCUGUGAUUACCUCACCUUUAUCUGGAAGCGAGUUUGGAGAAGUACAGGUAAAAUAAACACCAUGUCUCUCUUCUUGGAAACACGGAUGUCUGUCUGGCAGAGAUGUCUGCAACCUUCCAGGUUAAUGAGCAGCUCUGGUGUGGCGCAGGGCGGCAUCGCUCCUCCAGCCUGGCACCAGAGGGAAGCUCGAUGCGUGGAGGCCUCCCCAGCGAGGGAGGCACCACAGCCUGCAUGGCGAUGAGCAGCCGUGAUACAGAUGCCCACCUUAGGAAGCAUCUUUUCAAAAGAUUGAAUGAAGCUCCUAUUUUUGCUUUGAUUAUUCUUCUGUUGUUCCACAAGAUAUUUUUAUUCCAUCGUAUUCUGUGUUUUUUCUUUUGCAAAGUGAAUUUAUUUUGUGAUAAAGUGCCAUGCUGCGUUAAAUAAUUCUGGUAAUCAAGAAAUCUUUGUUUCGUCCUCCUAGCUGCAUGCUCUCAAGGGUUCGCAUAUCUUCCUCAGAGCUUGUAUAUGUUAUGGUACUCCUUUGAUACAUAUCUUACAUCUGAUAGAAUAGCUAGCUAGUUGUAAUUUUUUUUUCUUUUACUGUAUUUGUAAAUCCAGCUAUCAGAUGUGACGAUGGGCUAAUGUGGGCAGGCUUGCCCUUUUUCAUACCUUGCAGCAGAAGAAUCAGGACUUUAAUUUCAUAUAGGCAGAGGUGGUAGACUUAAAGUUGAUCAUAUGGAAAGAUUUUUCCACAAAGAACGAGCAGGACUGAACAAAAAGCUGGCAAAUGCUGUGGAUACCAAGAGUUCCACCCGGAAUGAGUGGGCAGGCUUGGGGCAGUCUGUGCAGACCUUCUCCUUCCACCUUCAAAGCCCAAGCCCAACAGUACAUUUUAGAGUAAGCUUUGAUAAAUAAAUCUUCCCUAUUUUCCCCUUCAGGAAGGGUCAAUCAAGUGAGUCAAUAUUUACCAUCAACAUGUUACAUAGUAGAUUAACCUUAUGGGUUUAUUCCGGUAUUUAAACUGUGUAUUUGUCGAUACCUGGAUUAAACAGCCCAAGCAAUGGGGUUUAUCUGAGUAUGCCACAGUUGAUUCUGGCAAGUAGAGUGGAUUUGGCUUGUGACUGCUUUAACACAGCAGUUCUACUCCUCGUUUUGUUUGUGUUCUAAAGAGAGUUGUUCCUACCAGGUUGAAGGAAAUCAACAAUUCUGACACGUUGGUUAAUCAAAUGAUUGUUAACACCCAGGGGACUUUCCUAGUAGCAGUCGAGCGCUGUUUAUAUUUUAAUAAUCACUGUGGUUGUUAACAAGGGUAAAGAAAAUGGAGUCCUUCAGCAAGCGUUGUCCGUUGUCACCAUGCUCCAAGUAAGCAUUGAUGAAAUUUAUUAUUUCCAUGCUUUUCCUGGUGGUCCAUAGACAGCCACCUGCAGCCACCAUUAAUUUUCCCUUAAGCACUGCUCAUGUGGAGGUGUUGCAAACACUUAAGACCUUGUUCUCAAAGAUGGUAUGAGGAGAAAAGCAUUAAGACUUUUUCCCUUCCUGCCUUUGAGCCUGGGAUGCGUUUCCAUGGUGUCUGAAAUCCUGCUGUAAGAGUUUGUGCCAGUCUGAAGUAUAAUGAAACUGCUUCUUAGCUGCCCCCUGGGGUGUUUGGGUGGAGCUUUAACAGCAGCCCCGAAGACUUCAAUAGCACUGGGGAUGAUUUUACCAACUCGUGAACAAACAUGGGCUUAUAUAGUAAGUCAUAAAAGCCUCUUAGACACAUGGUUGUUCUCUUGUAAGGAAUAACUAAAACCUCAAUUUUGAAAGAAAAGAAAAUCAUACCACCCCUCAUCUCUAUUUAUGCUAAAAAUAAACAUAUUGUUACGAGAUACUCUCUUCUUUUGGGAUUGAAAAGAAAAGAUCUUGUCAAUUACCAUAUUUGAGUGAGUUCUCUUGUUUUUUUUCCCAUUUUCCUCCACCUCGUUUGUAUUUCAGUUGUCAGAUGGCCAUUUCAAGGUAAAAAAAGAAAAGAUAUUUUUUUUAAUAGAAGACAUGACUAGAAAGUACUUGUUGUUCCUUUAUCAUGCACAAAGACAUUGCUUGGGCCCUGGUGCACCAUCCCUGCGCAGAGCUGGCACCCUGCUGCAGCCCACCCCCGGGCAGGCUGAGAGCGGCUGCAAGGGGUUGCUGGAGGUCUGCCUGACCAUGCAAAAGCCCUGGGGAACCUUCUUCUGAGACAUUUGAGACCUCGGUGUUUUUCGUGCUAAUUUUAAACUCGGAGAUGUUUCUCAUGGAAUAUUUAUAGACUCGCUGGCUCUUAAAAGGCCCAGAGGGCCCCCUCUGUAGAGCAGGCCAGAGAACUUCACCCGGGGAGACUGGCCAGGACAGCAAAUCUUUAUUUUUUUCCUACUCACGUGCAGGAUCCAGCCUCCCUAGUUAGCUGCACAAACUUACUGCAGCUUCCUACCUGGGUGCGUUUGGAUGGACCAUGCUGAUGCUAAGGGAGCAGCUGGGUAGUGUUCAGGAGGAGCUGCGUACAUGUGCAGGACAGGGACCAGAGACGCUCCAGGCAGUCCUGUCAUUGCAGGAGACCUUACACAGCGAUACCCUAAUUUUCUGACUGUAUUUGAGUUAUGUAUAUGUGCGAGGUGGGAUCUUUCCUCUGUGCAAGAGUCGCCCCAGUCUGAUGUGAAUAAAUUACUGCACUCAGGCAGUUUCCCAAAGCAAGGGCAGGUAAUUAUUCAUGGGGUCGACUUGAGUUGUUCUGAAAGGACCACAACAGAUGUGCUUAAAAACAAAAAAAACAAGCAAAACCAAAUGCAGAGUGGGGUUGAAGGAAGGGUGAGGAUGUACCAGGAGGAGGACUACCCUCAGAGGAGAAGGGUUCGUGACAGAAGUGUAUUUGUUUCAGGCUGGAGGCCACAGCCACUCGACUGUCACUUCAGCCUGUCGCACCUCCUCGUUCCCUAAUUGCACCAGUGGUGUGAACAGACCUUAAACUGGUGUAGGAAAGCCAUCAGUCUUUGUACAGCCAAUGUGGCAUACAGGCAUGGCAGAACCAGCCGUGGGGUUUAAGUAUUAGAAAUACUUGUUUGGGAGACUUUGUUCUGUUAUCUGUAACUGCUUGAAUAAAUCUGUUUCCUGUGUUUAUGAUAAAACAGGAUUGUGUUCUCUUUGACUUAAACCUCUUGUACCUUGUGUUUUAUACCUUUCUUUUCAUAGCUACUGGAAUUCACGCUUCAUCCACUUCAGGCUGCGUAAGUACAUUGGCAGGCUAUUUGGAGUGAGUGAAAUCAGAUCCUCUGCAUUCAUCCCUCCUGUGUUUCCCUUCAAAGUAUGUUUUUCUUUUUGGCUCACGGUGCCUGUUGUUAGAGCUGUUUGUGGCUGGUACCAAGUGCAUUUUAGUGUAUUUGGAUCACUAGUGUGACAGUUGAACCUGAAUUAGUGGACCUGUUCUCAAUUUCUUUGCCUUCAGAAGCACUUCAGGCUUUUAAAUCUCAUAUUUGGGAGGUAUUUUGCAAGGGCUCAUUAGUUGUGAGUAGCAGGCUUUGAUUUACUGGAUGAAAACAUGGCUAUUGUGUCUAAUGCUGGCUGCUGCGUGGCUGGAAGCACUGGGAAGUCUCUCCCCUUAGCAGCAUCAAACAUGACAUGGCAAAUGCAUUGCCAUCAGGAUGUAGCAGCAGCCAUCCCUCGAGCUCGUUAAGAUCUUUGGCUUCAUUUUCGUCUUUAAGUAUAGCUGUAGCUUAGGGUGCUGAGGGUACGUAGCUGGGCCAAGCUGCCUUGUGCAGAAGCCACCAGCUUCUCAUUGUGGUGCCUCGUUAAAGAGGAGGCUGUUUGGGUCUGGGGCAGCCCCACCAGCUGGGGGAGCCAGGCCUGGGGCAGAGCCCCUCUUCACACCUGUGUGCCUGUGUCAGCAUGUGGGACCAUGCCAAAAAGGUGAACUCGGUUUUAUCUGACCCAUUUCUCAUGAUUCGGGGCCCAGUUAUCAGUUACUGGAUCAGGGCAGGGCUGCUGUCCCAGUGGCCUGUCCCAGUGCUGAAGCUGGAGAUCAGCUUUCAACCAUCCUGGCAUGAAUUUUUCCUUUUAUUUUACUCUCCCAUUCCUGAAAGCACUUCUGGUUGAUGAGAAGAGCAGUUAAGCAGCCUGGGUCAGGAAUUCUGCCAGUCCUGCAUGCAUUUGGGUCAAUGCAAGUCUGGAGAGGCUGUCCUAGUGCAGGUUGUUUAAUUAGGAUGCUAAAAUCCAGGUUGGGUUUAUGCUGCAGAUGUGCACUAUCCUCAUCCCUUAUUUGCAUGUUGGCUGAUGCUGAGAAGGGAGACCUCUGAAGACAACGGGUAGUUGGAACUGCUUGCUAUUAAUUUUCUCUUGUAUUGGUUUAGCUUAACCAUACAUCUGAUUCUUCGAUUUGCGCCCAAAUAUUUAUGCAAAGUCUCUCUCUUGGGACUUUCCAGGGGUUGGUUCUGCAUGCAGUGAAAUGUCUGCUUUAAAGCUAGAUAGCAUUUCCUUGGCACACAAAAAUGGGAUGCAAAACAGUUCCAGGAGCAAAUUUUCAGUCAUUUGGCUAUUUUUCAGACAUUAAGGGUUCUGAAGAGCAGAUAAGAGACGGCUGAAUGCUUGCCUGCUUGUUGCCCAUUCCACAAUACCGCUUGUCACACUGAUAGGGAACACUAAUAGCAAUUUGGGAUUGCGUUCUCAGUAAUUAAACCUGCUUCCAGGAAACCACUGCUGCGUGUUCCUUUAGAAAAGUUACUAAUUGCCAUCUGUUAAGAUAUUCUUUCCCUGAAACAAUGAUGGCAAGCAAUUUGGGGCUGCCUUUCCAGCCCCUCCUGUGAAAGGAGAGCGUGGCGCAGGCACUGAGCGAGCACCCCAGCCCCUAAGCUCCACGUAACUCUUUGCCCCGGAAGAAAACUGGAGCAGUCCCUGGCACCUCAGUGAUGCAGUGAGCCCCUCCAGGCCUCGCAGUCACCUCUGCUCACCUCCUUGUGCACUCUUGGUCGUGGUUUUUCUGCUUUCAGGGUCCUCUGUGGUGUGACCUCCUGCUGGAGCUCAGGUGAGGCUCUUACCAGCUGUCUUUCCGCAGUUGCCUAACAGACAGGAAAUUUCUCCUUACAGCGCAAAAGGCUCUCUUGUCCCCUUAAUUUCGCUUACCCCUUGCCUGGAAGCAUUUACUCAAUGCCAUUGCUGUUUUGUCCAGCCUGUUCUCUGGAUCAGAGAUUUCUGAACAUUAACAGAAGGGGACAGCGGGGUGCUAACACAGGCACAGAAAUCAUUUCAGAAAUACUGUGAAAUGGGAGGAAAACGAAAGCCGCGUCACUUAAUGAGGGAUCCCCUAUAGGUCCCCGUAGCACCAGGCACUGAUGUGUUGGAACUCCGUUGUUGGACUCUCCAACGUGUCCUGUUUGCAGGGCAUGUCCCUGUUCCUGGCCGUGAUGGGGCUUUUCCUCCUGUCCUUGCUCAGCCCCCAGCCCUGCCUCACAAAGCCACCCACCAGGGAUGCUGCAGGAGGAAAACCGCUCAAUUUGGGUACAGCAGCACGGGGUUAUCUCUGAUAGAGGCAUUGCCCUGGGCUGUCGCUCCAGGGGUGCUGCCAGCAGACAUAUUUUCCUGUAAGAGUUUUCCUUGCUGGGACCUGGGCUGGUCCCAGGUUAGCCCGGACACAUCCUGCCAUGGCUUGAGCUAUGCUCCUCGGCACAUCUUGCUGCUGUCCCAGGGGCCACUGGCGGUUGCUCAAAGGGCCAAGAAAACCAUAGUCAAACUAAGCAUGUACCCAAACCUAGUAGUAAAAGUUUGUGGUGGGCUUAAGGGCCAUGUUUGGCAUGGAUAAAUCCAGUUUAACUUGUCUACCUGCUGCAUUGUAAUGCUAUAUGUGAUAAGAAAUGAAUUCAAUGAACACCGGUGGAGAAGAUAACUCCUCCACAGGGUUUGUGUUGUUUCAUGCAGCGAUCCUGAACAAUAACCUGCAGUUUUUAAGCAGCCCCAGCUGAUUUAACUCUGGCUGCAUGUGAUUGAAGUGAUGCAUGAUCGUCUUUGCAGGGCAGAGACCGCAGCCUUCGAAGUCUGCCACGUGCACAGAGGACUAGCCGGACAUCCUCACGUUUCCACAGCAUGACUUGGCCUCGGUUUGUGACAGCUUUCUGUAAGCAAUGCCAGCUCCCACAGUUAGCUGAGGGCUCCCAUCCUUCCCCUGAGUAGUGGGGUCAGCGGGUCGCAGUUACGAGUUUGGAAAGUUUGGAUGGGGCUGGUGCCGCCUGGCGUGGGAGCAGCACUUGUUUUGCUCAGAUGCUUUUCCCCUGCUAGGCAAUGGGAACGUCUCUUUGAUGUUCCCGGCAGUUCCAUGGGAGAACUUGCAUUAAAAAUAAAUAAAGAAAGAAAGAAUGAGGAAAGGAAAGUGUUGCUCAUAUCGCAGUGAAAAAGUCAGGGAAUUCUCCCCGAGGCUGAGUGCGGGCACAGAAGGCAGCACGUCCUCCUCCGAGAUGCACUGCGUCAGCCAGUGAACAGGGCUGGGGGACGGGCCUGCAGAAACGUUGUACUUGCUGGGAAUUUCUCGUGCCCCAGUAAGAACACCCCCAGUUACUGCCAGACCUAAAACAAGACGUUUCUGUGAACAUUUAUAAAAGUUAAUGCUUCUGUUCUAAAUGUUUCCCUAAGUUUAAACCAUCAAAGACAACCUAAAAGUGCUACAAGGUUAAUUCCAAAUAACUCCGUCUCUUCAGGACUUCCAAAAUUAAAAUUAUCAGAGAUGAACAGGCAUGGGGACUGCACCAGGAGAAGCAGCAAACAUUGCUCCUCGCAUGAGCAAGGCAGCACAGAGCUACAGGUGGUAUUGGAGCCCCAAAGUGCCAGCUUUUGAUCAGUGUUUUGCCAUCUCUGAAAUGACCGUUUUUUUCCCCCAAAUUCUGUUCUUUGCAGAAUUUUGAUACUUGAACUUUGCUGGUCCGGAGCAGACAUUGCAAUGUGUGACUUCCCUGUGCAAGGGGAGCUCUGGGUUUUGCUGAGCCCUGUUUUUCAAGACGAGCCUGAAGCAGGAUUGCCCAGUGCGCAGAGGUGGGACGGGGGAGCUGCUGCAGGACAGGCAGCCUGCUGCAGGGCUCCAGCUGGCUCUGUGCUGCGGAAAUCAACUCGAUCUGGAACAAGGAGCCCUUCGGCUCCUAUGUGUGUUAUGCCACACACAAACACUGAUCCCUUUUGUCUCCCCCAGGCUUCAUAUUUCACUACGUUUGGAGAAAUGGCCCUUUUACAGGUUGUCAUGCAAGCCCUUCUACACAGUGCCCCAGGAAGCACCAAAAAUGCUUACGGGAAGCUUUGUGGGGAAGCCAGCAGGAGUAUUUGUGUGCUGAGUCACCUUGAGACUAAUUAAAAACUGUUCGAAAAGCAGCACAUGGCUGUAAUUGCCCACCGAGGGAAUUCUAAUACCAAGUACUUCAUAAGCAUCCUGUGAAUGUGCACAUUCAAUCUUUUAUGACACUUGUCUGUGAGUUGAAAGAAAAAAGUGUUAUUUGCCACAAGGCAAAUAAAGUUGUUAAUCACAAUAUUUCCGUCAGUGGGAGGUGAAUAUUUUGCUCAGACACCCACAGGCAUCGGUAGCUCAGAUUUAUGCGCGGAUGUCUCGGAGAGAGAGCUCACGUUUAUCUUUUGCUAUUGUAUUUCAUGCAGGUGAUUUUGUAUGAUAUUUUCCUAGUGUUCAGAUCAUAUUUUGUUUUUAAUUUGCCACAAGUUGGUGUAAGAUUUUACAGGAUGAUCAGGCUGUGUGGUGGAGCAGAAGCAGCUGGAUUGGGUCAAGGGCUGUGGCGCGUAUCUGUGGGAUGCUAAAGGAGGGAGAAGAGUGGCGUUUUGCAUCGUUAAGAUCAGAGAAGACAGACAAACCUGUAUUGCGUAAUACUCUUUUAAAGUAUUUCCUCCCUUCCUAAAAAACACCUUGCACUUUUCAAACUGAUACUGCCAGAGAAUGGCUUCACAGAUGCUGGAGAUCCAUCAUAUCACCUGCGGCAUCCCCAUGUUCACUCCUUGCCCAAGCGGAGGCUCCAGAGUGAAUGUUUUUGGGUCAGGCAGGCCUGUAAGACGAAGAACUAAUAGGCGAGAGGGUGUUCUCUACUGGCGACUGCUGGUGAGAGGCGACUUUACAUCUGACCUGCUGACGUGGGGGGAUUUACACCCAUGCUUCAAGGACUGCUGCAAGGGGAGCUUCUGGAGGAAAAUACAG